rnacentral:lncRNA from 1 species
ACGGCGGUGCAGGAGGCCCUGCGCGCUUCCCCCCCUUUUGGCGGCGGCUCGCGGUGCCCCUCAAGGCGACUCGGCCUCGAAGGCUCAGCCCGGCGUGGGGGGCGGCAGCGAAUCCCAGUGUCUUGGCGGUUCCCUUAUACGAGAGGUGUAGGAAACCCGGUGCCUGCCGUAUUAAUUAAUGCGUGUGGUCAUUAAUCUUCAGUCCAAAGGGCUCCAAUCUUUCACUUUACAGGCAAGUGCUUUUCUUUCCCAGGAUGAGGGCCAAAUAUCACCACUAGCAGACAGCCGAAUUUCCAGGCAGGCUUACAGCUGGCAGCUGCAGGUGCCCACUGCUGUUAUUGGCAGCCCCAGGCACACACACGUGAGUGAGUAGAGGGAGCGAGCCAGCUGGGUGUCCUUUGUCAAUGAUGAGACCACUCAGAGCUAAAAGCACUAUUUAUAGCAGCUAUGCUUAGUGCUGUACUUAAUAAAGUGUGGAAUAGUCCCAGUUUUCUCCAUAAAACAAGCUGAGUACUGGGGAUGGUGGUGCCUUGUAUUUUUUUAAUAAUCUCCUCAUGGGUUAACUCCUUCAUGUAUUUCCCUUGGUGAUCACAAAAAUGACCUAAAAUGUUUUGUGCAGUUUUCCGAAGUCUUUGGAAUGUGUUCAUCCUUCUCUCAAAUGCUGUGGCUUGCUGCACCAGCCAGGUGCAAAUUUACAUAAUAAGAAACAAAUUUCUUUUUCAGCUUACAAUCACAUCCAAAUUUUCAUGCUAAUUUAGAAAAAAUUACAGAAUUGCAACGGUUGGGAGAGACCUCGAGAUCGUCAAGUCCAACCCCCUUACUAAAGCGGUUACCCUACAACAGGUCACACAGCCUCAUAAGGACAGAAACAAGAAUAUCUUUCAAGAGGCUGUGUGUUACAUUACUGUAUGGGAACUGCUGAGUCAUGGCCUGAACCACUGAUUGAUCACCUGUGAAAAGGACUGGAUCAGCCCUGGGAGCACAGGGUUUCCAAGAAGGCAAUGUAAAGGAUAUCCAACGUCAACAAGUGCUUUUGUUGCCAAUGCCUACUGCAGAGGAGGGUGAGGAGGCUGCCAAGAAGAGUUUCAGAAUGGAUGAAAGCCCUACACCAAACAAAGGUCUAAAGGCUGUGGUCGAGAGCAGGCAUGGACUGACCAACUAUCCACCAUUUUUGCCUCCAAAUAUUUUCCAAGUUUUAACCCUUCAUGAGAGGCUGUUCUUGUCUUGCUCAGGACUGGACUCACUGGUUAUUGUGACGCUGGCAGGCAGGGUCUGGGCACGGCUGGAGGCUGGAGUGCUCUGAGUUGUCGGGGACACUUCGAUUUUGUCAGAUGAGAUAGCUGAUGUGAUGGCCUGAAUCCACGUGUUCAUCUCCUCCUUCAAGAAGCCCGAAAGGUAGAAAGCUGUUACAAUACAUGCACCACACUCCCUCGCUCAUUCAGCAUUGCAAAUGGGGAAUGGAUAGAAGUGGGGAAUUAAACACAGCCCUAACUCAUAAUCUGGCACUCCUCUGGUUAUGCACCUGCAGGAGCUGUCUACUUCAAUCUGUAUCUAAUACCUUCUCAAUCUAUGCAUUAUGCACACAUGCAUACAUGACUGGAGACCAGAAAAUUAAAGUGUACUCCUA